GCCCAUUGUGUGUUGGAUGGCCGUGUCCGGAAGCUAGCUACACACCGAGGGCUGGUGUCCAGAGGAGGAGAGCGCUGGGACACAUCAGACCUACAAGAGCGGAAGAGGCCCCAGUCACCCAAAGGGCUUGAGCCCAGUGCCCCUGCCUCCGAGCCACGCCCAUCCCCAUCUACUUCAAAACCUAGGAACACAAGGGUGAAAAGCAGGGAUGGCUGCACCCUAAGUCCUACGUGCACCCUGCACAGAGCCACAGACCCUCAGCAAGCCAGGAUCAGCCUGUAUGACGAGAUCACAGGCCUAAGUUGGGCUUCCCAAGAGCACGACUCUCAGUCAACACUUCACAAUCCGCUACUCAAAUCGGCAAGUCCAAAGAAGUAGCCGGCGCGGUAGCCACACCUGUAAUCCCAGCGGCUGGGGAGGCUGAGGCAGGAGGACCACAAGUUCAAAGCCAGCCUCAGCAACUUAGUGAGACCCUAAGAAACUCAGCGAGAUCUUGUCUCUAAAUAAAAAUUCAAAAAGGGCUGGGGAUGUGGCUUAAUGGUUAAGCACCCCUGGGUUCAAUCCCUAGUGCCCUCCCCGCAAAAAAGAUGGAAGAACAUCCAUGUGGUCAUCUCAGUGGCUGCAGAAAAAGCUAUUCACAGACCCAACAUCAUGCACCUUUAGAAAAACACUCUGAGAACCAAGAUCAGAAGGGAGCUUCCUCCGCUGCCAAGGGACAUCUGCAGAACCCCUGAAACAGCCCAGACAGCAAGAGGAGUCUCUUCUGCAGAAGUGGUGCAGCAGGAGUCCCGCCUGUUCCCAGCCAUGGGCGGCACUCACCUGGGCCACGGGGCAAAGACAGACGCACACAGAGACGUGGGAAGGGCAUGGAAGACCUACAGCCAAACACUUAGUGCAACGAGACUCCAACAAGAUGGUGCACACACAAACGAUGUCUGUACUCCAGCAACAAGUGUGUCACCUAGAAAUGACACGGUGACAAUAGCAACAAAAGUGUAGACUUAAAAUAAAUCCAAAAAGGAGAAUAGGCUCUUUUGAGGAGAAAAACUUUCUAAAAAUCAAUGAGAAAGCUUGUGAUCGUCCAGACACCGAUCAAUGCACAAGAAGCCUCCACAUUCGAGAGGCUGCUUCCCCUCCGCUACCCGCAGCGCCUGGGAUCCUCAUCAAUAUUCCACAGGGACUUUCUCGCAGCUCCAAGGAUUCUAAAGUCUGUACGGAGGCAAAGGGCCUAGGAGAGGAAGGGCACUCUGAAGAAGAGCGGCCAGGAGGGGCAUCGGCCCUGCUGAGCAGUCAGGUGGACUCUGGAGCUGCAGCAGAUGGAGCCUCUCGUUACUGGCCCCAAGAUGGGCACGUUGACCCGUGAAGAUCGACACACACACACUUGACGCAGGACAGAAGAGGCCUUGCCGAUCAGUGGGGACAGGGCUGACUUCAAUAAAUGAUGAUGCCAAGACGUUUUAAUUUUUAAUUUUCAUUUUUAUGUGGUGCUGAGGAUGGAACCCAGGGCCUGGCACGUGCCAGGUGAGCGCUCUUCCCCUGAGCCCCAGCCCAGCACCACCCUCAGUGAUUUCAAAACAGGAAACACAGGUGCUGAGGGUCCGGAGGAGGCUGAGCAGGAGGCAGGUUCCCAGGGCCAGACCAGGGCGUCAUCACACGCGACAGCAGGACCUGACGGACAGACCACCCUGCGAGCGGAGCACCCGCACCGAGGGCCUGGGCGCGGCCAACCUCACGGCCUCCUUGGGCCGGUUGAGAGCACAAGUCUGUGAGUCCAACCAAGUCGGCACCUUCUGCCUGGGGCUGCUGGGUUGGUUGGUUUGACCAGCUACAAAAGCAUCCUGGCUCCCGGGACACGCUGCUCUGCGGCCCAGGACCAGGCGCCGAGGGCUUCUCUCUCUCCUUGUCUCUGUUUUACUGAUUUCCCUCUUGAUUAUCAUGCUGGCUGGGCCAGGGGGGUGGGGGGCCUCUCCCUCCUGCCUCCCAGCAGCUUCUGGAGAGGGCGGGCUGGACGUCCGUCCCCGGGGCUGUUGAAGGCUGCUCAGGGCGUGGCAGCCCCCUCACAUUUCCAGGUCUGGUGGACGGUUUUAACCAAAUGCCAGGUGGAGCCCCUGGAGCCGUGGCAGCUGCCGAGGGGGCUGAGGGGGGUCAUACCUGUAUUUUCACAUGUUUUGUUGGGGUAUAGGACACGGGAAUGUCCCAUGCCAUAGCUGUCUGCCUGGGCAACAGGGCAAGGGGCGGAACAAGACCAGAGUGUCCCCACUGCCCUCCUGCCCUCUGUCGACUAGUCGUGCCCGUGUUUCCCUGGACACGCAGGACAUCAGACAGCGCCUGGCCUUCUGUUCAGCGUCUUUCCUUCUGUGUGUGUCCUUCCAACUGCUGCCCGUGUGUCGGCGGUGGGGAGCACGCACGGCCAGCCGCAGGGCCCCGGGUGGCUUCUGUGAACGGGCCUCUGCAGCACACCUUUCCGCGGGUCCCUACCUCCGGGCUCUCCGCGGGUUCGGUAGUGAGUCGGGCGUCCACCCCUGCACCCUGGACGGUCACCUGCUCCAGGCCACCGUCUCAGUCUGAAGCAGCCCACAAGUUCCCUUUGGACUCCACCAAGGAGCUUUGUCCUUCAGCUUUUCCGGCUGCCCUGGGCAUUCUGCGUUUCCAUGGAACCUUUGGAUUGGCUGGUGGAGUUUCGAGUGUCCAGCUAGACCUCCGUUGGAAUUGCCUGAGCUGUGAGUACUCCCGCCAGCCAGGCCUCCCACCUGCUCGUGGCGCUGGUCCAGCGGCUCUCCGUCUCCUGGGAGACCUCACACUUCCCCUAGAUUUAUCCCUAGGUAUCUGGUGCUUAGGGUCAUUGUUAAUGUCCUGUUUUUAUUUGGUGACCACUGGCUUCUGGUCUGUAAAGAACACAACCGAUUCUCCCAUGGAGCUGGUAUUCAGCCGCCUUCCAUCUCCUGGGGAUCGAUGGCGGCCAUCUCUGGGUCUCCAGUCACUUUGUCCUCGACUGCUCUCUCCCAUGGUCUGCUUCACCAGCUGGUGCUGAGCAGCGCUCUGGCCAAGGGCAUCCUCGUCCACCCGGGCUCAGAGGGGACACUUCCAGCCACUCUGCUCCAAGAGCAGCAUCAAUGGUGGGCUGUCAGGUAGAUGUCCCCGCGAGGGGAGGGAGGUUCUCUCUGUUCCCGCUUUGCUGACCUCCACAGGUCCUUGUCUUCUGCCCCCCGAUUGAGGUGAUGCAGGGGUCUUGCUUGGGCACACCGACGUGGUCGGUCAGGUUGACUGAGGCCCAGGUAGACCAGCCUUGCUCCAGGACUAAGCCCAUUUGGAACCUGCCCUGGAGGUGCCCAGCCUGCUCAGAGCCUACUUCCAGGGCACGCAGGACAGGGACGAGGACGAGUGAAGAAGCCCGAGGUCCCCCGGCCUGCCAUGGCCUGGCUGGGGUGCAGCUCUGCUGAGCCUGCUGCCUACGGCUGCGUCCAUCCGCAGGUGCCCUGGCCACAGCUGGAGCACAAGAGCCUCCGAAGCCUUCUUCUCUGCAGGACAAGAAGGUGACCCUGGCUAGCGUGAGGACAGAUCCCUCAGUGGACACAGGUUCCUUCCUGGGUCUCAGUGUUCUGGUCAGAGAGGUCAUCUGCAGAUCACAUAUCAACAAAAUGUGAUAUUCUGACAAAGCAGGUAAAAAGAGACGCAAGGUGGCUGUCUAAGCGCUGUGAGAUGCGCACCUGCGAGUCUGAGCCCUGAGCCGCGGCUUGCGCCUCACGGGGCAGAGCCUACCCACUGGGGGCGUGGCGCUCAGUGUUCCGGGAUAAUCCUGUCCAGUGCUGGCCACUGUGGGCACUUGUGACGGGUUACUAGGCAGAACUGCAGCGAGACCAGGGUAGGCCUCACCUUAGCACUGUCCCCUCAGAUGCAGGUGAGGGACGGCGUGCCUGCCGCCGUCAGGCCCAGGUAGCCCCAGAUGGCUCCAUGGCAAGGGGCCAGCCAGGACCCUACCAUAGAGGGGCGGGGCAGCGGCAGCCAGCGCAGGCCCAGGAGCGGGGCCAGGCUUCCACAGCUCCUGGUGCUGGGACCGCAUUCCAGAGAGAUGAGCGUGCGGUCUGUGCCCGUCGGCUGGAAUCCCGUACGUACACAAGCCCACCUUCUUUUUUUGCUUUCUAGAAUUCCACUUCUAUUUUUGGUGGAAUAUAAAAUCUGACUAUUUCCCAAAAUGGAAAAGCGCGUGUGCUCCCUGCCUGUCUGGCGGUAUCUCUGCAGCGCAGCCUGUGGGACCAGCGCUCGGGGACCCCUUCCCCACCCGGAGCUGCAGCGCUGGGCGCACCACCCCCAGGUGGCUCUCUCCAGCUGCGUCUGCUCACGGUUCUGCCUGUGCCAUCUGCCCCGGGUCCCAGUGGGUGUGUCUGAAUGAGUGUGUCGCACGCCCACCGCUCUGAAGGGCUCCAGGGAAGCCCGGGUCCUGGCUGUGAACCGCAGGAGGGGGACGGGGAGGGCAGGCAGGAGGGGGGCGCAGCCGCUGUCUGCUGGCCGGGCCUGCGGAUACUGUGGUGGACAGCAGCUCUGCCUGCCAGACAGGGAUGGGAGUUGGGCCCUGAACCCCAUCCUGCCCUGGAGAAGGAGCGAGUGCCCAGCGCAGCGCAUGACCACAGCCUUCGUGACAACCUGCUGAGUGGCAGGGGGACUCGGCUUCACCAACAGAAACCCUCCGGGAGCUGUCGACCUCACUGUGGCUCUCUGGCUGCAGUGGGCACUUCUCGUGCCGAGGUCGUCUGAUACCCUCCUUGUGCCGUCUCUUGCGUCCUUGGCUGGCUCCUACCUGACCUCUUGGUCCUUUGUCCUAAGUCUAGGAGCUGUCCACACACGGAGGUGCCAGGCUCCCAGGGCAGCAGGACAGACACUCUCUCCGUGGUUUCAGCUGCCAACUCUGUGGCUUCCUUGGCUGGUCAAGUUCUGCUGGCCUCUCUCUGAGUCACAGUCAGCAUGCCCCCCCACCCCCGGUGUCGUCCCCGUCUUCUGGUCCUGCGUGGUCCAUCCCCUGGAGGUGGCCUGGGCGUGAUGGGGACUCUUUCCUGGCCGUCCAGUGUGCCUGCCCGUCAUCCACAGUCCAGUUCCCCGACAGAUGUCACCACCACCUGGGGUCCCCAAGGACCUCGGGUCUCUGCUCUGUUGGGGCAUUUGUCUGCUCCUGCCCCACCCCAAAGACGCAGCUGUCUCUGGACCGGCCAAGAGAGGGCCUGGACUCUGUGGGGGUAUCUGUCAUCGCCGGUGAAGCUCAGGGUCCUUGGGUCUUGCCCCUUCUCUCCUGUGCAUCUGGAGGGAAGCCCUUCCCCUUGGCCUGAGCUGGUGCUGGCUGGCCAUGCGCUGGGAGCCGGAGGCACUCCUGAGCCAGGGGCUGGCCUGCUGUCCCCUGUGGCCUGCGUCCUCCGGUGAGUCACAACCAACCACUGCUCCAGAGCAGGAUUUAAGAAGGAGGAGCCGCCGCUCAGAUGGCUGGCGGGGCCUGCAGUCUGCAAACCAGGGCUCGCCACCUUCAGGCACCCUGAAAAUACCUGGGCCGCAUCCUCCACAAGCCCCUGCUCGGUGGAGAGGCCAUUUCUGAGGGCUUCUGGAGCAGCUGCCCAUCCCUGGGCUUCCUCCCAUUCUGCUGGGGCUGGACACUGCUUCCACCAAUAGAAGAAACCGGAAGGCACAGGAAGAGAGAUAAAUGUCGGCAAAUGGAGCGGUCUCUGCCCCACAGGUCAGCUCGGCCUCCCUUUUACAAUAAAAAAGGUUUUUCUGGUUC